UACAGAGGUCUCAAGCGUUGUUCGGAUUCAUUGGGCGUAAAGGGUGCGUAGGUGGCGCGCUAAGUCAGGUGUGAAAUUUCGGAGCUUAACUCCGAAACUGCAUUUGAUACUGGCGUGCUUGAGGACUGGAGAGGAGACUGGAAUUCAUGGUGUAGCAGUGAAAUGCGUAGAUAUCGUAAGGAAGACCAGUGGCGAAGGCGAAUCUCUGGACAGUUACUGACACUGAGGCACGAAGGCCAGGGGAGCAAACGGG
rnacentral:rRNA from 1 species